UACGUAGGCAGCAAGCGUUGUUCGGAGUUACUGGGCGUAAAGGGUGUGUAGGCGGUUGUUUAAGUUUGGUGUGAAAUCUCCCGGCUCAACUGGGAGGGUGCGCCGAAUACUGAAUGACUCGAGUGUGGGAGAGGUGAGUGGAAUUCCUGGUGUAGCGGUGAAAUGCGUAGAUAUCAGGAGGAACACCGGUGGUGUAGACGGCUCACUGGACCAUGACUGACGCUGAGACACGAAAGCGUGGGUAGCAAACAGG
rnacentral:rRNA from 1 species